GACAACACUGAGGUCUGGUGACUCACCCAGGGUCAUGCAGCCUGUGAGUGGCAGAGUGAGCCGGGAACCUGGCUGCUGGCUGAGAAAUUUCAGGGCUUCUUCUUUGAGUGCCCAGCAGGAUUGCAGCACCACAUGGCUCUGGGGCUCUCCCACUGGCCAGUCUGGGCUGAAGGGAAUGAAGUGAAGAGAGGGAGUUUCCCCUAAAGCCUGAGCUAGUGCCAGGAAAUUGUUGGUCAAAGGUGAGGUCACCAAGAACCUGGAAAAACAACAGGUCUCCAUUAACCUUGUUUACCUGCCAG
rnacentral:lncRNA from 10 species